UAAAACCCAAUCUUCAAUUAAAAGAAAAAAAAGGACGCACGCCGCCGCCGUUCGCCUCCUCUCACCGACCGCCGUUCGCCUCCUCUCACCUACACCACCGCCGUUAUUUUUGGAUGAGCCAACUCUUAAUCGAAGCCCGAAUCGUUCCCUCUUCUUCUCUUUAUUUUUCAUCUCCUCCGGUCUCGUCUUCAUUCUUUCCUCUCCAUCUCCUCCAGCUCGUCAUCCGCUACCUUAAAAACCCCACCCACAAAGCAAUGGCUGCCGCCUCCCAUGAGCCUCUACACCUCUGGUAGCAGAUGAGCUUCGUGGUCGACGUCGGCAUUUUUCUCUUCCAGAAAAUCUGAUAGCAGAUCGGCGUUUUUCUCUUCGUGGUUGCCUCUGGUAGCAGAUCGGCGAUUUUCCAUUGGGGUUUCUAACAGCCCUUUUCAGCGAUCUCCUCCUCGGCAACGAUUGAUCGGCCAAGCCUCCUAUGCUCGAUCUCCAAAGCCCCGACGCUUCUACGAUCCAGAUAUUUCUCCCAUUUGAUUUUGGACCCUGAUUCUCUAACCCUAAACUCUCAUUCUCUGCGAAAAUCCAGGGAUCCCAUAACUUAAGGACAUGCAUGGUAGAGGGGCCUUAUGCGCUUUGGGUUGUCGACUUAUGGACUCAUUUGUUUUGUUAUAGAUAAUUAGAUAAUGAGUUUGUUUACUUUUGAUUAGAGGCAAAUUGAUAGCUUAGAUGAAGAUUUGUAUAUUUUUUGAUAGAGACAUGGUCUCUUGGUGCUUUUGAUUGGAGACGUCAUCUCUUUGGAUGAAGAUAAUUUAAUUUUUGAAUUAUAAACUUUGUGUAUGGAUUCAUCUUGAUUAUGAAUUACAUAUGAGUUCAUGCUUUA